GUUUUUGGUUAUUAUCUUGAAUAUUAUUAUAGAUAGAGAUAAACUGUAAACAGCAAAAAUGUUCAGCAAAGUAAGAUCUACAAAUAAGUCAACAUGACCAAAAUGGUCUGUUGACCCCUUUAGAAGUUAUUGCCCUUUAUAGUCAAUUUUUAACCAUUUUUCGUAAAUCUUAAUUAUCUUUUACAAAAAUCUUCUCCUCUGAAACUACUGGACCAAAUUAAACCACACUUGGCCACAAUCAUCAUUCGGGUAUCUAGUUUAAAAAUUGUGUCCAGUGAUACGGCCAAC
rnacentral:lncRNA from 1 species